UGAUAAUGCCAUAAUCAAUAACUAGGGUUUCAGGGACUUGAAAUGAUCUUGAUGAUGCUUACACCCAACACUUAGGGCUUCAAGCUAUGCUCCAUGAUGAAUUUUAACCAGGAUGAAAUACUCACAUUCUAUUCAAUUUCAUGUGUGAUAAAAACCCUUGAAUCCAUGAUUUUAUGCUUUUUAAAUGCAAGUGGAAUGUGUUAUGAUA
rnacentral:lncRNA from 1 species